rnacentral:rRNA from 1 species
UUUAUGGAGAGUUUGAUCCUGGCUCAGGAUGAACGCUGGCGGCGUGCCUAAUACAUGCAAGUCGAGCGAACAGACGAGGAGCUUGCUCCUCUGACGUUAGCGGCGGACGGGUGAGUAACACGUGGAUAACCUACCUAUAAGACUGGGAUAACUUCGGGAAACCGGAGCUAAUACCGGAUAACAUGUUGAACCGCAUGGUUCAACAGUGAAAGACGGUCUUGCUGUCACUUAUAGAUGGAUCCGCGCCGCAUUAGCUAGUUGGUAAGGUAACGGCUUACCAAGGCAACGAUGCGUA